AGUGAACGCUGGCGGUAGGCCUAACACAUGCAAGUCGAACGGCAGCACAGUAAGAGCUUGCUCUUACGGGUGGCGAGUGGCGGACGGGUGAGGAAUACAUCGGAAUCUACUUUUUCGUGGGGGAUAACGUAGGGAAACUUACGCUAAUACCGCAUACGACCUACGGGUGAAAGCAGGGGAUCUUCGGACCUUGCGCGAUUGAAUGAGCCGAUGUCGGACUAGCUAGUUGGCGGGGUAAAGGCCCACCAAGGCGACGAUCCGUAGCUGGUCUGAGAGGAGGAUCAGCCACACUGGAACUGAGACACGGUCCAGACCCCUACGGGAGGCAGCAGUGGGGAAUAUUGGACAAUGGGCGCAAGCCUGAUCCAGCCAUACCGCGUGGGUGAAGAAGGCCUUCGGGUUGUAAAGCCCUUUUGUUGGGAAAGAAAAGCAGCAGGUUAAUACCCCGCUGUUCUGACGGUACCCAAAGAAUAAGCACCGGCUAACUUCGUG
rnacentral:rRNA from 1 species